rnacentral:tRNA from 1 species
GCCUGUUUGGUCUAGUGGUUAAGGCACCAGGCUAGAAACUGGGAGACUAUGAAUUCUAGUUCCAUCUUAGGCA